CCCUUAGAUGUUCUGGGCCGCACGCGCGCUACACUGACGAUGGCAACGAGUUUUUCCUUCGCCGAAAGGUGUGGGUAAUCUUUUGAAACAUCGUCGUGCUGGGGAUAGAUCAUUGCAAUUUUUGAUCUUGAACGAGGAAUUCCUAGUAAGCGCGAGUCAUCAGCUCGCGUUGAUUACGUCCCUGCCCUUUGUACACACCGCCCGUCGCUACUACCGAUUGAAUGGUUUAGUGAGGACUCCUGAUUGGCGCCGCCGCCCCGGCAACGGAGCAGCGGACUGCCGAAAAGUUGUUCAAACUUGAUCAUUUAGAGGAAGUAAAAGUCGGAACA
rnacentral:rRNA from 1 species